rnacentral:rRNA from 1 species
AUUGAACGCUGGCGGCAGGCCUAACACAUGCAAGUCGAGCGGAUGAAGGGAGCUUGCUCCUGGAUUCAGCGGCGGACGGGUGAGUAAUGCCUAGGAAUCUGCCUGGUAGGGGGGGAUAACGUCCGGAAACGGGCGCUAAUACCGCAUACGUCCUGAUGGAGAAAGUGGGGGAUCUUCGGACCUCACGCUAUCAGAUGAGCCUAGGUCGGAUUAGCUAGUUGGUGGGGUAAAGGCCUACCAAGGCGACGAUCCGUAACUGGUCUGAGAGGAUGAUCAGUCACACUGGAACUGAGACACGGUCCAGACUCCUACGGGAGGCAGCAGUGGGGAAUAUUGGACAAUGGGCGAAAGCCUGAUCCAGCCAUGCCGCGUGUGUGAAGAAGGUCUUCGGAUUGUAAAGCACUUUAAGUUGGGAGGAAGGGCAGUAAGUUAAUACCUUGCUGUUUUGACGUUACCAACAGAAUAAGCACCGGCUAACUUCGUG